UCUUUCAUUUUUCAUUGACCGCCAAAUAACUCUAGCCAAAACUCAAAUUUCCCCCUUCUUCACCAGCAAAAGUGAAAAAUGGGCAAUUUCAGAAACCUAGCAGCCGCCUCCAACACUCACUCUCCCUAUGCAUUUCAUUUGGGUAGCAGAGAAAAUGCAUAUUUGUCAAUUGUGCAUUUUACUUGCGGUGAUUUGGUUGUGCAGGUUCUGUCAUGAAGCAUCAACUAUGAUGAGUACUUGGACGAGAACAAGUCAUUGAUUCUGAAGAUCGUUGAGAGCCAGAAUACAGGGAAAUUGAGUGAAUGCGCAGAGUGAGCAUUUAGUUCU